AUUGAACGCUGGCGGCAGGCCUAACACAUGCAAGUCGAGCGAGUGGCGGACGGGUGAGUAACAUCUGGGAAACUGCCCGAUGGAGGGGGAUAACUACUGGAAACGCUAGGCAAUAACGCAUACUAUUGGAACUGACCAGAUGGGCUUAGCUUGUAGGUGAGGUAACGGCUCACCUAGGCGACGAUCCCUAGCUGGUCUGAGAGGAUGACCAGCCACACUGGAACUGAGACACGGUCCAGACUCCUACGGGAGGCAGCAGUGGGGAAUAUUGCACAAUGGGCGCAAGCCUGAUGCAGCCAUGCCGCGUGUAUGAAGAAGGCCUUCGGGUUGUAAAGUACUUUCAGCGGGGAGGCGUUACCCGCAGAAGAAGCACCGGCUAACUCCGUGCCAGCAGCCGCGGUAAUAC
rnacentral:rRNA from 1 species